AUGCACGAGAUGGCGCCGUCCAAGCCCGCCGCCGCCUUGCUCCUCGCCUUGGCCGUCCUGCUCGCGGCCGCGCAGCCGUCGUCCGCCAUCAGAGUCAAGCCCGCGUGCUCCCCGGUUGUUAUUCCAUCGCCACCUCCCCCCGCAGCUUCCCCACCGCCGCCGCCGACCCCGGUGAUCAGCAACCCGCCCCCAUCCGUCCCUGCUUCCCCGCCGCCACCGACCCCAGUGAUCAGCAACCCACCGCCAUCCGUCCCUGCUUCCCCACCGCCACCGACCCCAGUGAUCAGCAACCCACCGCCAUCCGUCCCUGCUUCCCCGCCGCCAGCGAGCCCAGUGAUCAGCAACCCAACUCCAUCCGUCCCUGCUUCCCCACCGCCGGCCACGGUCUCACCAGCUACCCCGCCGUCGCAGCCCACGGAGUGCCUGACGCCGUUGAUGGGGCUGACGCCAUGCAUGGGCUACCUCACCAACACCGGCGUGGCGACGCCCCCGGCGGCGUGCUGCGGCGCCUUCAAGUCCCUGGUGGACAACGCCCCCAUCUGCCUCUGCCACGGCCUGAACGGUGACAUCAACAAGAUCAUGCCCGCGCCCAUGGACUUCAUGCGCAUGAUGUCGCUCCCCGGAAACUGCGCCGUCCCGCUGCCAAUGCAGACGAUUGCCCAGUGCGCCACGGCAUCUGUGCCACCACUGGACCCUCCUACCGCCCCAGCAGCCCCAUCCCCAAAGCCAUCACUGUAG
rnacentral:rRNA from 1 species